GACGAACGCUGGCGGCGUGCUUAACACAUGCAAGUCGAACGGAAAGGCCCUGCUUUUGUUGGGUGCUCGAUUGGCGAACGGGGGAGUAACACGUGAGUAACCUGCCCUUGACUUUGGGAUAACUUCAGGAAACUGGGGCUAAUACCGGAUAGGAUCUCCUGCUGCAUGGUGGGGGUUGGAAAGUUUCGGCGGUUGGGGAUGGACUCGCGGCUUAUCAGCUUGUUUGUGGGGUAGUUGCUUACCAAGGCUUUGACGGGUAGCCGGCCUGAGAGGGUGACCGGGCACAAUGGGACUGAGAUACGGACCAGAAUCCUACGGGAGGCAGUAGUCGGGAAUAUUGCACAAUGGGGGGAAGCCUGAUGCAGAAACGUCGGGUGCGGGAUGCCGGCUUACGGGUGGUGAACCGCUUUCGCCGGUGACGAAGCGUGAGUGACGGUAAUGGGUAAAGAAGCACCGGCUAACUACGUG
rnacentral:rRNA from 1 species